rnacentral:ncRNA from 1 species
AAACGGCUACCACAUCUAAGGAAGGCAGCAGGCGCGUAAAUUACCCACUCCCAGCACGGGGAGGUAGUGACGAAAAAUAACAAUACAGGACUCGUAUCCGAGGCCCUGUAAUUGGAAUGAGUACACUUUAAAUCCUUUAACAAGGACCUAUUGGAGGGCAAGUCUGGUGCCAGCAGCCGCGGUAAUUCCAGCUCCAAUAGCGUAUAUUAAAGUUGUUGCGGUUAAAACGUUCGUAGUUGAACUUGUGCUCCAUACGGGUAGUACACCCAUCAAUUGGGUUUGUACAUUACUCUAUGGUAUGUGAGCGUAUUACCGGUGGAGUUCUUAUAUGUUAUGGUACUUGUAUUAUAGCGUAUUCCUCCCAUUCAAACCUAC